rfam:Candidatus Scalindua brodae SCABRO_contig000114, whole genome shotgun sequence.
UUGAGCUGUAUGAUGGGAAACUAUCACGUACAGUUCUUAGGAGGGAAUCGGGCAGCAAUGCCCGUGACCUAUCCGGU